AGUGAACGCUGGCGGCAGGCCUAACACAUGCAAGUCGAGCGGCAGCGGGUCCUUCGGGAUGCCGGCGAGCGGCGGACGGGUGAGGAAUGCGUCGGAAUCUGCCUUUUUGUGGGGGAUAACGUAGGGAAACUUACGCUAAUACCGCAUACGACCUACGGGUGAAAGUGGGGGACCGCAAGGCCUCACGCAGAAAGAUGAGCCGACGUCGGAUUAGCUAGUUGGCGGGGUAAAGGCCCACCAAGGCGACGAUCCGUAGCUGGUCUGAGAGGAUGAUCAGCCACACUGGAACUGAGACACGGUCCAGACUCCUACGGGAGGCAGCAGUGGGGAAUAUUGGACAAUGGGCGCAAGCCUGAUCCAGCCAUGCCGCGUGUAUGAAGAAGGCCUUCGGGUUGUAAAGCACUUUUGUCCGGAAAGAAAUCCUGUCGGCUAAUACCCGGCGGGGAUGACGGUACCGGAAGAAUAAGCACCGGCUAACUUCGUG
rnacentral:rRNA from 1 species